rnacentral:lncRNA from 1 species
UUGAUUUGUUUUUCUUGAGACCGUACGGAGUUGAAUGAGCAGAGAGUCAGGAGGGAAACCAGAGAUAAAACAAUAUAGGUACAGGAUAAGUUUAAAAUGGCGGGAUCUCUGCAAGCAGGAGAUGGGAGGCGCUAUGGCGUCUGUGUAUACUGGUAUAAAGUAAAUAUGAACAAAUGCUAUUGGUUGCAGAGCCAAAGAGAAAAAGAGAGACGAGGAACAAGGUAUGGAAUUCCACGCCUUUGAUUUGAAUUGUAUUCCUCAAAGUUUCCGAUCCCCAAAAAAGAGAAUCUAGUUUACUAUCUUUUACCAACCCAAUUUGCCCAAUUGCCUGCUUUUUUGGUCUGUGUAAGUAGAAAAUGCAGCAGAAGGAGGAUCAUUUAAUCAUCAUCAUCAUCAUCAUCAUCAACUCCAAUACUCUCUGCUGCUGUUAAUAUUGGUUUUUCUCCUUUUAUUUAUCCUUUUCUUAUAUAUUAUAUAUCUGGCCUGUCAGAGAAUGAUUGAAUUGGAAAAGGAAGAAAAGAAGCCAAGCCAGUACAGUGGUACAUCCCCCCCUGAGAGAAGAUUUGCUGGGGGAAACACUUGACAGUUGGCCUGAAGGAGAAAGGAGAAGAAGAGAAAGAACUCAUUCAUAACUUCCUGACCAACGAUCUUUUUUGCAGACUAAAUGAUACAUCCUUCAAUUUGUUUGCCCUGACUGGUCAAAUCUAGCCAAUCUUCACAAAGCAGUAAGACAAAGACCAUUAAGGUUCCAACUCAAAACAUGUAGCUAUCUUUCAUAUUAGUGUCUUAACCCAUGUGGUGCAUAUACAUUGGUAGUAUUUUGUGCUGCAUGGAUUAUUUUGAUUAGUAGCACAAUUAGUUGAGAUUACGAGGAUAAGGUUUGACAUCUAGAAUUAUGUUUCCUCGUAAAAUUGAAUUGAGAAUAGUUGAAGAAAGUUAAGUUGAUGUUGGAAGAAAGGUUGAAUAGAGUGAUAUAUGAGAGUCCAAGUUGAAUUGUGUUUCCCAAACUUACUCAAAUGAAAAUUAAACUUUUCCUAAGAAUCCUUUAUCUUUUUUAAUUCAAAAAACCCUUUUAACCUCAACUCAAUUUCUUUCCGUUAAUUUCAAUUUAACUUUUCAAGAAAACAUUAUUCUAGAUACCAAAGUUUAUCGAGAUUUCCUGAAUCAAACAAUCCAAGGUAUCUUGAGAAUUGCAGGUGAAAGGGGGUUCUUGGUUAACUGAUCAAACCUUGACAGCAGAAGCUGAAGAACGAUUCAUUGAAAUCGACGGUGUAGUGCAUGGAGUGAGGAUCAGUAGAAAGGCCGAAAGCUUUGACCUUUAGGGGAAAUGGGAGAUAUGGGUUAGGAUAGAAGGGAGUAAGGGUUGUGGGGGCUGUGGAAGCACAUGAGUGUUAGGGCCACUCUAGCUAUGCUAUUGCUAGGCUUGCUUGCUUGUUAUCCUCUUCAACUCUCAGUUAGCAACGUAGCAAGUGAGAGUUGAAAGAUCCUGUUGAUGAUGAUGACGAGAGAGGCAUGUCCCAUGACAACCCAGAUUUUGCCACCACGGUUUUUAUUGGAUUUGAUUGAUCGUUUCCCCAUCUCUUUGUUUUUGUUUUACUCUCUUUUUAUUUUUAAUGGCAGGGCGGCACCUUCCGAGACACCUAAAUAUCAUACAACUAACAAGAAAGAGUAGAGAAUUCUGAGUUGUGUAAAAUGCAAGCCAACACUAGUAGAGUAGAGUGC